ACGAACGCUGGCGGCGUGCCUAACACAUGCAAGUCGAACGAAGCACUGUGGAUAGAGACUUCGGUCAAUUGAAGCUUUGACUUAGUGGCGGACGGGUGAGUAACGCGUGAGGAACCUGCCUUUCAGUGGGGGGACAAACAGUUGGAAACGACUGCUAAUACCGCAUAAUGUGUUUGGGGGCAUCCCCGGAACACCAAAGAUUUAUUGCUGAAAGAUGGCCUCGCGUCUGAUUAGAUAGUUGGUGGGGUAACGGCCUACCAAGUCGACGAUCAGUAGCCGGACUGAGAGGUUGAACGGCCACAUUGGGACUGAGAUACGGCCCAGACUCCUACGGGAGGCAGCAGUGGGGAAUAUUGGGCAAUGGGGGAAACCCUGAACCCAGCAACGCCGCGUGAAGGAAGAAGGCUUUCGGGUUGUAAACUUCUUUUACCAGGGACGAAGGACGUGACGGUACCUGGAGAAAAAGCCACGGCUAACUACGUG
rnacentral:rRNA from 1 species